GAUACAUUAAGCUUUUAAAUAUGGUCACUUCCCUGUCGAUUACUAGCGUUUGGCUGCUUGUGGAGAUCAGUUGUGUCAGCCUAGAUGUUACAGGUUGUUAAGAGCUUUUAUAUUUCAUUGCAAAAUGUGCCGUUUGGAUGGAACAUCUUGUGCUCCUCUGUUUCUGGUUGCUAAGUACCCAGUCUUCAGAGCUGUACCUUGAGGUAGAAGUUUAAUAAUCCUGUUAUGUUUACUCUCUUUCCUACAGAGUCGCAAGAAAUAUUUCUAGUAAUAGGAAGGAAGACAUAACAAGAGAACAAAGGACCAUCUCGCAACGCAGGAUCUGCAGUGAGAGCCACAGAUUGCCAGUAGGAGGAAAAUGCAACUCUCCAAACAGAACAAGGCAACUGUGUUUCAUGAGACAUUCGUUUAAACAUGACCAUCUUCAAGCAGAGUCCAAAAAUGUGAGCUAUUUACAUUCCAGCACAGUACAUUUCUUUUGUUUUCCUCCAUAUUUCUUUUUUCCUCACAGUCUUAGCUGAACAGUUUGGGAUUUUUUUUCAGAAAGCCAGCAAUGAAUUCCCAUCUCAGUUUGUUAUUAAGCACCUCAAAACUAUGUGGAGCUACGCAGGAGUGCUGUACUCUUUCACUUUCAUUCAGCUGCCUCUACUACAUUGGGACUUCUUUCAAACUGCAGAAUCAUUUAAGAUAAUGAUACAUGGCCAGGUAAUUUCAGAGAAAAGUUAAUAAUAAUGUACGUCUGGCAGCAAUGAAAUUCUUAAUUUCCUGGCUGGGUUCGUUCCAGUGUAGGCCUAUGAUUUUGCUAUCCAAGCAGGGGGUUGUGGUAGGCAUGUCCUGCACCAUCAAUGCUCCAUGAGGGAGCUCAAUAUCUCU
rnacentral:lncRNA from 1 species